GCAAACUUGGUCAUUUAGAGGAAGUAAAAGUCGUAACAAGGUCUCCGUUGGUGAACCAGCGGAGGGAUCAUUACUGAGUAUAAAAACUCUCAAACCCCUGUGAACAUACCUACGUUGCCUCGGCGGGUCGUCGUCCCUCCCUCGCGAGCUACCCUGUAGCUCCGGCGGCGGGCGGCGGUCAAGCCUGCCGGUGGUCCAAAACUCUGUUUUACUGUGAAUCUCUGAGGAAAAAGCAAAUAAGUUAAAACUUUCAACAACGGAUCUCUUGGUUCUGGCAUCGAUGAAGAACGCAGC
rnacentral:misc_RNA from 1 species